rnacentral:rRNA from 1 species
AACGCUAGCUACAGGCUUAACACAUGCAAGUCGAGGGGCAUCAGGAAGAAAGCUUGCUUUCUUUGCUGGCGACCGGCGCACGGGUGAGUAACACGUAUCCAACCUGCCCUUUACUCGGGGAUAGCCUUUCGAAAGAAAGAUUAAUACCCGAUGGCAUAAUGAUUCCGCAUGGUUUCAUUAUUAAAGGAUUCCGGUAAAGGAUGGGGAUGCGUUCCAUUAGGUUGUUGGUGGGGUAACGGCCCACCAAGCCUUCGAUGGAUAGGGGUUCUGAGAGGAAGGUCCCCCACAUUGGAACUGAGACACGGUCCAAACUCCUACGGGAGGCAGCAGUGAGGAAUAUUGGUCAAUGGGCGGUAGCCUGAACCAGCCAAGUAGCGUGAAGGAUGAAGGCUCUAUGGGUCGUAAACUUCUUUUAUAUAAGAAUAAAGUGCAGUAUGUAUACUGUUUUGUAUGUAUUAUAUGAAUAAGGAUCGGCUAACUCCGUGCCAGCAGCCGCGGUAAUACGGAGGAUCCGAGCGUUAUCCGGAUUUAUUGGGUUUAAAGGGAGCGUAGGUGGACUGGUAAGUCAGUUGUGAAAGUUUGCGGCUCAACCGUAAAAUUGCAGUUGAUACUGUCAGUCUUGAGUACAGUAGAGGUGGGCGGAAUUCGUGGUGUAGCGGUGAAAUGCUUAGAUAUCACGAAGAACUCCGAUUG